rnacentral:rRNA from 1 species
UAACUUUGAGCGGUGGAUCACUCGGCUCGUGCGUCGAUGAAGAGCGCAGCC